GGUGUUGUGGCUCAAAUGGUAGAGUGUUAGUCUUGAACACAAAAAGGCUCAGGGACAGCACCG
rnacentral:tRNA from 1 species